UUUAAAUGUAUCUAUGAGUUUUCGUGCCCAACUUUAAUUGUUCGUCUUAUUUAAAAAAUAUAUAAUUAAUAUUUUUAUUGUUAUGAGAUGAUAAAACAUAAAUAGUACUUUGUUCGUGACUUAUGUUUUUAAUUUUUUUUAAAAAAAAUUCAAAUAAGAUGAACGAUCAAAGUUAGACGCGGAAAAUCAUGGUUGCACUUAGA
rfam:Oryza rufipogon genomic scaffold, chr04